CAGAAAUGGGGGCUCCUUUAAGGACAAAGAAAGCAUUUUGGAUCGUCUUUUCGCUCAUUAGAGCAGUCAUCCUUUGGACUGAAGGGAGCCCCUCUUUCUU
rnacentral:pre_miRNA from 1 species